GCUACGUGAGGCAGCAGUGGGGAAUAUUGGGCAAUGGGCGCAAGCCUGACCCAGCAACUCCGCGUGAAGGAAGAAGGCUUUCGGGUUGUAAACUUCUUUUAAGAGGGAAGAGCAGAAGACGGUACCUCUUGAAUAAGCCACGGCUAACUACGUGCCAGCAGCCGCGGUCAUACGUAGGUGGCAAGCGUUGUCCGGAUUUACUGGGGGUAAAGGGCGUGUAGCCGGGCUGACAAGUCAGAUAUGAAAUUCCGGGGCUCAACCCCGGACCUGCAUUUGAAACUGUUGGUCUUGAGUAUCGGAGAGGCAGGCGGAAUUCCUAGGGUAGUGGUGAAAUGCGUAGAUAUUAGGAGGAACACCAGUGGCGAAGGCGGCCUGCUGGACGACAACUGACGGUGAGGCGCGAAAGCGUGGGGAGCAAACAGGAUUAGAUACCCCUGUAGUC
rnacentral:rRNA from 1 species